rnacentral:lncRNA from 1 species
AGAAACACUCUGCUACAGAACAAGUGUCUUGGUUCACAGCAAAGAGGACAAAGAAAACAGCAAGUUUUAGGGGGUUGAAUCCUGGAUUGUGAAAUGUUGGUGCCAAAUGAACUUUUCUGGUUCUUCUGAAUAUGCCACUGUUGCUGGAGAAAUGUCACUGCUAGAGAACAGAAGACUAUUAUUCCAAAGGGUAUUUGAGACUGACUGAAUCAGGUCUGGAACAUUAUUGAAAUGAGACCCACAAAAGAAGAGAUACUGAGAGGAUGAAGAGAUCCUCCUAGCUUGGCGGAAUACUCUGCUCUGAUGGAAGUACCAUCCUGGUCCAAACAUGAAAGAAUUCCCAACAUCAAGAUUGAUUGAAACAUAUUCAAUGGGUGGUGACCAGAUGGAUAUAAACGGGCUGUGGAAAAAGAGAAUGCAUGGCCAAAAAUGGUGGUGCUCUCUGUCCAAAAACUGAGGCCCUAUGACCAUGAAUGAAGCCAGAGGGCAGGUAGGAAUAGAUCAUUUGCUCCAGAAGAAGCUGGUUGCCAUGUCUUGAGGACAGUAAACCCUCUGGGGAGGUUCCUGUGGUAAGGAACAAGGGCUCCUGGCAAUAGCCUCUGAGUGAGCCACCUUGAAAAUGGAUUGUCCAGCCCCAGUCAAGCUUUCAGAUGACUGUAGCUCCUGCCAAUGUCUUCACCACAACCUCAUGAGAUCCCAAGCUACAACCACUCAGUUAAGUUAUGCCAAAAUUCCUGAUUCACAGAAAUUGACAUACAGGAGAGGUCACAGUUAAGAUCUUGAUGUUCUAUCUUGACCCAUAAUAUAGGAACUUCAUCUUUUGGGAAGCACCAGGGAGAGCUGCCUGUGCCUGGCAGAAGCUGCCCAUGCCCCACUGAUACCCCACAGUACUUCCUGUUCUGCUUAGUACUCCUGCUUCUUUCUACAAACAACUGUGAUUCUCUACCUGGGAGCUUCCUCUGGCCACAGGAGCCUGCUCACCUGAUUGGGACACCCUAGCAGUACUGGCUCAUAGAUGGAAGGGACUUGCCUUGUCGCUGAUGAGACUUUCGACUUGGACUUUUGAGUCAAUGCUGGAAUGAGUUAAGACUUUGGGGAACUGUUGGAAGGGUGUGAUUGUGUUUUGAAUUGUGAGGACAUGAGAUUUUGAAGAGGCUAAUGGCAGCGUCCCCACCUAAAUCUCUUCUUGAAUUGUAGUUCCCAUAAUCCCCACGUGUCGUGGGGUGGAGCCGGUGGAGAUAAUUGAAUCAUGGGAACACUUUCCCCCAUGCUGUUAUUGUGAUUGUGAAUUCUCACGAGAUCUGAUGGUUGUAUAAACGCCUUCCCUCUUCGCUGGGCACUCAUUUUUCUCCUUCCUGCCACCAUGUGAAGAAGGAUAUGCUUGCUUCUUGUGCCAUGAUUACAAGAACACACUCAGAAAUUUUCUCAACACAGUUUCUAUGCAGAGAAGAGAUGUGGGACAGAUUUGAACUGCUGUCAUAUUUGUAUGAACCCAAGACAUUUUCCAAGACCAAGAGGGAUAAAGACAGCAAUUUCUAUGACUGGCAUUUUACGUGCAUGCACUGUUUCCAAGUGUUCUUGUGUUCUGUGCCUUAAACAUUCUGUGUUGCAACUUUAUGAAUUGAAUUAAAGAUAAUCCCAAGCCCCCAAUUGUCUCAAAAAGUGAAAAAGUAAAUGUUAUAGAAAGAAAAGCGGGAAAAACUUUAAGCAUGAAAUAAAAGAUGGGUUGUGAUAAAAGAGGACUGAAGAAGGAAAAGGAAUGAAAGGUUCUGCCAUCCUUCAUGGCAGCCCACUCCACUUGGUAUGAGAUACUGCUCCCUUGGCUGAAAGUUAACUGCUGUACUCCCUCCACUUUCUAUAAAUGACUCCCUGUGCCUUUCCUUCACCACACAACUCACACUCUCUUCCUUCCUAGUGAGUCCACUAAGGCUUCACUGCAUUAUUACAUUUAUUUCAUUUAGGAAAAACUGACUUUAUUUUCCUUCAAAUUGUUUUUUAUUGUUUAUAUGAGCU